rnacentral:siRNA from 1 species
GAAUUUGCUUGUUGGGCCAACCUU